CGAAACAAUACAUUUUCCUCCAAAUCCUGGAACUGUUCCUUCCUAAAGUCCCAUGCCUGGAUGCCAGUGGAAGCAGUCUGGCCUCAGAUUGAGGAGAUCUGAAUCUACAGACAAUGUAAGACAUUGAAGUUGCUUUUCCUUAUAGAGGUGAGGGGUUUGAGUCAUGUCACUUACAUUCUCUUGCUUGGUUUCCCCUGUGACUCUAAGAACAUUGUGCAGCACACUGUUUCCCCCUCAGUUUCCUUGUGGGACAUCUGAACCCAAUGCAUGCAGGGGCUGAACUCUGUGAAGCUCUCACUGGGUUCAGAUGAGCAGGGCUUGUGCCCUAACUCCUCUCCCUCUCCAAGCACUACCAUUCCAAUAAUAACUGCUAUCUCUUUUGAACUUUGUGAACCACCUGAGCAGGCUAUGACACUAGCCUUUAGCAGUGGCCAGAGUGAUUCACAUGGCACCUGCAGGGCCAAACUCAUUGAGGGACAUUGUUAGACAGUGUUCAACAACUGAGGCAUAGAUAACAGUUGAAUGAGUGAACAAAUGCCAUUCAGCCCCAGAGAGUUGCCUCCUGGUAGGCAGGGACUUGUGCAGUGUGAGGAUUCCAGACUGCUGUCUGUGCAAGGGAUACUAUGUAGAGAGGAGGCAGGGCAGGAAAAUUGAACAAGCAUAGGUUUGAGUCCCAGACCCGCCAAGCAGCCAAAUAUCACCUUAAUCAAGUUUUAAAACUAUUCCUGGGGAUGAGUUUUCUUCUGGAAUACCUACCUUGCUAGAUUCUUGUGAUAAUGAAGGCUUCAUAAGGGAACUUAUGUGACAACUAUGAAGGAUCUGACACAUGGUAAGAACUCAACGGAUUACAGUGAUGAUAAAGCAGUUAUUAGGGUUGAAGGCCUCAUCAGCCAUCACCCCGUCGACUCCCUAUAUUCAAGAUGAGGUGACUUAAUCAAUAUGCCAGUCAGUGGGGGAACCCAGGUUUCCUCAGUCCUAGUUUAGUGCUCUGUUACACAUUUCUGCCUUCAAUUAUACAUUAAUUUCUGAAAGAAAAAUUGCAGUUCUAACCUUGAAUAUCCCUGUAAAUUCUGGCUUUGCAUUGAAACCCGAAGGAUGGGUACCUGGCCUCCAGUGUUUGUGGGCUGCUCAAUGGGACUUUUUAACCACAAAGCUGAGAACAUUGCCUUCUAGAAAGAGGGCAUCUCUCUUGCUGACACUCACAGGUUGCCAGGCUGGGACUUGGGAACACCAGGCUCACAAAUGCCCCAUACAUGUGAGCAGUUGGCUAGUCUAUGUCUCAUGCCUUGAGGAAGGUGAAAGAUCCUCGAGCCAUUGUAUUGCUGUCUCACCACACACCUGGCUGGAGCUAGACUUCUGGGGCUUGGCUGAAGUUUUGAAGGAACCACCUGAGGUGACUCAGGUAAGUAGCAACAAGGCAGGGAGGAGAGAAGCAGAGGCAGCAGAAGGGAAGAGAAGGACAAAGGCACUCGUAAUAGGCUGGAGCAGGCAAUGGUUUUCUUCCUCAAGAAAACAAUAUACACCAUGUCUAGAUUCCUUGCCAGACUAGCCUAUAAAAAUUGCAUUAAACACAUAAGCCUUAUGAGCUAUAAUACUCGUGAACUGUUAGAGUUACCGAAGUUUCUGUGAACUAGACUGAGUACCUCCUCACUUAGCAUUUUCAUAGUCUUAUUAUUAAUUACUUUAUUAUAAAAAUAUCAAAGUAUACUGAAGAGUAUAAAAUAAGUCUUUUCCCUUACUCUGUCCCCAAACUGAUCCAACUUCUAGAGUUUUCUGUUGAUAGUUUCUUAUAUAUCUUGCAGAUAUUUUCUCUAUAUACGUAACUGUAGUAGGUAUAAAGUCCACAAACAUCACUCAGAAAGUGACAUUUGAAGUGUCACUGGAGGAGGACAGGAAGUGAGCCAUGUAGCUAUAGGGGCUGGGGAAUUCCAAAAAGAGUGAACAGCAAGUGCUGAGCCCCUGGAUGAGAGUGGUGGGCUUGAGGAGUGGCAAACAGGCCCUGAGGCUGGAGUGCAGGGAGGAAGGAGGAGAUGUGUGGGUUGAGCUGGAGAACCCACAGGGCUCCGUCGGUCAGGGUAGGGGCUUGGGCUUUAACUGAGUAAAAUGAACAUCUGUGAGCAGAAGCACACCAUGAUCUGACUUAUUUUUAAUAGCAGGGAGAAUCAUUUGGAAGCUAUUGUAUAAUCAUCCAGGUGAGGGAUGAUGGUAGCAAGAAUCUUGAUGGUAGUGGAGUGUAAAAAUAAUUGGAUGCUGGAUAUAUUUUCACGGUACAGCUAAUGUGAUUUGUUGUUGGAUUGGUUGUGGAGUGUGAGAGGAUGAGAGGAAUGCAGGGCAACUUCUAGAUUUGGUUGCUGAAUAGCCAGAAUAACAUGGUGGCAAAUUCAUGGUGGGGCCAGUAUUCCAAACCAAGCCUACUGGGCGCGGGUUCUCUACUUCCUGCUCUAUACAGUCUUGCCUCCUGGGCACCACACAACCUUCCACAACACUGUGCUGUGGUAAAAGUUUGCACUCCAAGGCAAAGAACAAAAUGUCAGAAUAUUGCCUUCCAUUGAGUUGGAACCUUUUUAGAUCAAAUCAGUCAUAGUGUCUGAAAGGGUGUUCUUUUGGUCAUUUCUGAUAUUUAAAAGAUGCUUACUAGAAUCCAGGUGAUUCAUCUCUAGAAUUCUGGACUCACUUGUUGGGAAUGAUUGAACUGGACCAUUACUCCAGAAAGUCUUAUAUUUCUGUUUUUGGUGACUACACUCUCUGUGUGAGAGUUUUGCUGUGUUUUUUGUUCAUCCAUCACUUUCUGUGCCUUAUAAUGAAAACAGUGAAGACAAAUGUGCUAUUUAUAAUUUUCUUCC
rnacentral:lncRNA from 10 species